CUUGAACGCUGGCGGCAGGCUUAACACAUGCAAGUCGCGCGAGCGGCGGACGGGUGAGUAAUGUCUGGGACACUGCCUGAUGGAGGGGGAUAACUACUGGAAACGGUAGCUAAUACCUCAUCCCAUCAGCUUUGCCCAGAGGGGAUUAGCUAGUAGGUGGGGGAAUGGCUCACCUAGGCGACGAUCCCUAGCUGGUCUGAGAGGAUGACCAGCCACAUUGGAACGGAGACACGGUCCAGACGCCGACGGGAGGCAGCAGUGGGGAAUAUUGAACAAUGGGCGCAAGCCUGAUGCAGCCAUGCCGCGUGUGUGAAGAAGGCCUUCGGGUUGUAAAGCACUUGCAGCGAGGAGGCGUUACUCGCAGAAGAAGCACCGGCUAACUCCGUGACAGCAGCCGCGGUAAUAC
rnacentral:rRNA from 1 species